GACGAACGCUGGCGGCGUGCUUAACACAUGCAAGUCGAACGGAAAGGCCCUGCUUUUGUGGGGUGCUCGAGUGGCGAACGGGUGAGUAACACGUGAGUAACCUGCCCUUGACUUUGGGAUAACUUCAGGAAACUGGGGCUAAUACCGGAUAGGAGCUCCUGCUGCAUGGUGGGGGUUGGAAAGUUUCGGCGGUUGGGGAUGGACUCGCGGCUUAUCAGCUUGUUGGUGGGGUAGUGGCUUACCAAGGCUUUGACGGGUAGCCGGCCUGAGAGGGUGACCGGCCACAUUGGGACUGAGAUACGGCCCAGACUCCUACGGGAGGCAGCAGUGGGGAAUAUUGCAGAAUGGGCGGAAGCCUGAUGCAGCAACGCCGCGUGCGGGAUGACGGCCUUCGGGUUAUAAACCGCUUUCGCCUGUAACGAAGAGUGAGUGACGGUAAUGGGUAAAGAAGCACCGGCUAACUACGUG
rnacentral:rRNA from 1 species